rnacentral:rRNA from 1 species
GCCCUUAGAGUUUGAUCAUGGCUCAGGACGAACGCUGGCGGCGUGCCUAACACAUGCAAGUCGAGCGGUCCUUGCGGGAUUUAGCUUGCUAAAUCCUGUAUGGACAGCGGCGGACGGGUGAGUAACACGUGGGUAACCUACCCGAAAGACCGGGAUAACAGCUCGAAAGGGCUGCUAAUACCGGAUAAGCUUACAGGAUCGCAUGGUUUUGUAAGAAAAAGGUUGGCUUUGAGCCUUCUGCUUUCGGAUGGGCCCGCGCCUCAUUAGCUAGUUGGUGGGGUAAUGGCCUACCAAGGCUACGAUGGGUAGCUGGUCUGAGAGGAUGGUCAGCCACACUGGGACUGAGACACGGCCCAGACUCCUACGGGAGGCAGCAGUGGGGAAUAUUGCGCAAUGGGCGAAAGCCUGACGCAGCAACGCCGCGUGGGUGAUGAAGGCCUUCGGGUCGUAAAACCCUGUCAGAGGGGAUGAAUAAUGACAGUACCCUCAGAGGAAGCCCCGGCUAACUACGUGCCAGCAGCCGCGGUAAGACGUAGGGGGCGAGCGUUGUCCGGAAUUACUGGGCGUAAAGGGCGCGUAGGCGGCUGGGCAAGUCAGUGGUGAAAAACCUCGGCUUAACCGAGGUAUUGCCAUUGAAACUGCCUAGCUUGAGGGUAGGAGAGGA